CCUACGGGAGGCAGCAGUGGGGGAUAUUGCACAAUGGGGGAAACCCUGAUGCAGCGACGCCGCGUGAGUGAAGAAGUAUUUCGGUAUGUAAAGCUCUAUCAGCAGGGAAGAAAAUGACAGUACCUGACCAAGAAGCCCCGGCUAACUACGUGCCAGCAGCCGCGGUAAUACGUAGGGGGCAAGCGUUAUCCGGAUUUACUGGGUGUAAAGGGAGCGUAGACGGUUAUGUAAGUCUGGAGUGAAAGCCCGGGGCCCAACCCCGGGACUGCUUUGGAAACUGUGUAACUGGAGUACAGGAGGGGCAGGCGGAAUUCCUGGUGUAGCGGUGAAAUGCGUAGAUAUCAGGAGGAACACCGGCGGCGAAGGCGGCCUGCUGGACUGAAACUGACGUUGAGGCUCGAAAGCGUGGGGAGCAAACAGGAUUAGAUACCCCAGUAGUC
rnacentral:rRNA from 1 species